UGAGGAAUAUUGGUCAAUGGGCGAGAGCCUGAACCAGCCAAGUAGCGUGCAGGAUGACGGCCCUAUGGGUUGUAAACUGCUUUUAUGUGGGGAUAAAGUGCGUGACGUGUCAUGCAUUGCAGGUACCACAUGAAUAAGGACCGGCUAAUUCCGUGCCAGCAGCCGCGGUAAUACGGAAGGUCCGGGCGUUAUCCGGAUUUAUUGGGUUUAAAGGGAGCGUAGGCUGUCUAUUAAGCGUGUUGUGAAAUUUACCGGCUCAACCGGUGGCUUGCAGCGCGAACUGGUCGACUUGAGUAUGCAGGAAGUAGGCGGAAUUCAUGGUGUAGCGGUGAAAUGCUUAGAUAUCAUGACGAACUCCGAUUGCGCAGGCAGCUUACUGUAGCAUAACUGACGCUGAUGCUCGAAAGUGCGGGUAACAAACAGG
rnacentral:rRNA from 1 species